UAUUGGACAAUGGGGGGAACCCUGAUCCAGCGACGCCGCGUGAGUGAAGAAGUAUCUCGGUAUGUAAAGCUCUAUUAGCAGGGAAGAAAGAAAUGACGGUACCUGAGUAGGAAGCCCCGGAUCACCACGUGCCAGCAGCCGCGGUAACACGUAGGGGGCAAGCGUUAUCAGGAAUUACUGGGUGUAAAGGGAGCGUAGACGGGGAUGUAAGUCUGGAGUGAAAGGCGGGGGCCCAACCCCCGGACUGCUCUGGAAACUAUGUGACUGGAGUGCAGGAGAGGUGAGCGGAAUUCCUAGUGUAGCGGUGAAAUGCGUAGAUAUUAGGAGGAACACCAGUGGCGAAGGCGGCUCACUGGACUGUAACUGACGUUGAGGCUCGAAAGCGUGGGGAGCAAACAGG
rnacentral:rRNA from 1 species